rnacentral:rRNA from 1 species
GAUAACAGGCUGAUCUUGCCCAAGAGUUCACAUCGACGGCAAGGUUUGGCACCUCGAUGUCGGCUCGUCGCAUCCUGGGGCUGGAGUAGGUCCCAAGGGUUGGGCUGUUCGCCCAUUAAAGCGGUACGCGAGCUGGGUUUAGAACGUAAACUGCAUUGCGUUCUACUACAGAAAUGUAGUACAUUAAAUCCGACUUAUAUCGGUGAAACCCGAACGGACUAAAUCCGGCAGUCCGAGGGCAAUGCCGAGGGAAGACGGACUUGACAGACGAAGUUCGAGCCUACAUUGCCGGCUUUCUCGAUGGCGAUGGGUGCGUGAUGGCUCAGCUUGUACGACGCUCUGGAUACCGACUGGGUUUCCAGAUUCGCUCAAGCAUCGUGUUCUACCAGCACCGAUCCCACGACGAGAUCCUCUUCUGGUUGAAGGGGCAGAUCGGCUUUGGAUAUAUCCGCGCGCGAGGCGAUGGAAUGUCCGAGUACACAAUCGUGGGGCUUCGAGAGGUGCAGCAGGUCUUGACCAGCCUGCUGCCUCACCUUCGUGUCAAGGGAGAAGCGGCUGAGGCGGUGUUGGAGAUCAUUGGCAGUCAUCCGGCGAAGAUGACGCCUCGCGAUCUUUUAGUUUUGAGUGAGAAGGUCGACGCCACGGCGCGAUUCAAUUACUCGAAGCGUCGAUCCAACACCAUGGACAAGGUACGCGAGUUCUUGACGUCGGCAAGUCUUGUCCCCGUAGAGACUGAGGACCAGCAACCAGCUGGUCUGAGAUAGGUCCUCAUCCGAAAGGAAAUCUACAGGGCCUAUAACACGUCGGCCCCUAACCUCCGAAGGAGGAAGGGUGAAGACAUAGUCCAUGCCACCAGUAAUGGUGGGUUCACAUGCGUGAGACAGUUCGGAUCGUAUCCGCUGUGGGCGCAGGAGAUUUGAGGGGAGCUGACCCUAGUACGAGAGGACCGGGUUGGACGGACCGCUAGUGCACCAGUUGUUCUGCCAAGAGCACCGCUGGGUAGCCAUGUCCGGAUGGGAUAAGCGCUGAAAGCAUCUAAGUGCGAAGCCCACCCCAAGAUAAGAUCUCCCACCGGAUAACCGGGUAAGACCCCAGAGAGACCAUCUGGUUGAUAGGCCGCGGGUGUAAGAGGGGCGACCCUUUGAGCUGAGCGGUACUAAUCGGUCGAGGGCUUGACCUC